GUGGGGAAUAUUGGACAAUGGGCGCAAGCCUGAUCCAGCCAUGCCGCGUGGGUGAAGAAGGCCUUCGGGUUGUAAAGCCCUUUUGUCCGGAAAGAAAUCCUGUCGGUUAAUACCCGGCGGGGAUGACGGUACCGGAAGAAUAAGCACCGGCUAACUUCGUGCCAGCAGCCGCGGUAAUACGAAGGGUGCAAGCGUUACUCGGAAUUACUGGGCGUAAAGCGUGCGUAGGCGGUUCGUUAAGUCCGAUGUGAAAGCCCUGGGCUCAACCUGGGAACUGCAUUGGAUACUGGCGAGCUAGAGUGCGGUAGAGGAUGGUGGAAUUCCCGGUGUAGCGGUGAAAUGCGUAGAGAUCGGGAGGAACACCAGUGGCGAAGGCGGCCAUCUGGACCAGCACUGACGCUGAGGCACGAAAGCGUGGGGAGCAAACA
rnacentral:rRNA from 1 species